rnacentral:rRNA from 1 species
UACAGAGGGGGCAAGCGUUGUUCGGAAUUACUGGGCGUAAAGGGCGCGUAGGCGGCCUGUUAAGUCGAACGUGAAAUCCCCGGGCUCAACCCGGGAACUGCGUCCGAUACUGGCAGGCUUGAAUCCGGGAGAGGGAUGCGGAAUUCCAGGUGGUAGCGGUGAAAUGCGUAGAUAUCUGGAGGAACACGGUGGUGUAGACGGCUCUCUGGACCAUUACUGACGCUGAGGUACGAAAGCGUGGGGAGCGAUCCGGAUAGAUACCCGUAG